rnacentral:rRNA from 1 species
UCUAAUGGAUAAGUUAAUAUAAAAACUCUAAAGUUAAACGUGCUCGGGCGAGAGUAGUACUAUGAUGGUUGAUCUCCUGGGAAGUUAGGUUGUGUUAUGC